rnacentral:rRNA from 1 species
CUACGGAGGGUGCAAGCGUUGUCCGGAUUUAUUGGGUUUAAAGGGUGCGUAGGUGGUUUUUUAAGUCAGUGGUGAAAGCCUACAGCUUAACUGUAGAGGUGCCAUUGAAACUGGGGAACUUGAGUAUGGACGAGGUAGGCGGAAUUUGUGGUGUAGCGGUGAAAUGCAUAGAUACCACAAAGAACACCGAUAGCGAAGGCAGCUUACUAGGCCAUAACUGACACUGAGGCACGAAAGUGUGGGGAGCGAACAGGAUUAGAAACCCUAGUAGUCC